GACCAGACUCCUACGGGAGGCAGCAGUGAGGAAUAUUGGUCAAUGGCCGGAAGGCUGAACCAGCCAUGCCGCGUGAAGGUCAGUGCCCUAUGGGCGUUAAACUUCUUUUGUGCGGGAGCAAUAAUGGUCACGUGUGGCCAGACGAGAGUACCGUACGAAUAAGCAUCGGCUAACUCCGUGCCAGCAGCCGCGGUAAUACGGGGGAUGCAAGCGUUAUCCGGAUUUAUUGGGUUUAAAGGGUGCGUAGGCUGUGAGGUAAGUCAGCGGUGAAAUGCCCCCGCUCAACGGGGUGAAGUGCCAUUGAUACUGCCUUGCUGGAAUGCGGAUGCCGUGGGAGGAAUGUGUGGUGUAGCGGUGAAAUGCAUAGAUAUCACACAGAACACCGAUUGCGAAGGCAGCCUUCCGGCGCCCUACUGACGCUGAGGCACGAAAGUGCGGGGAUCGAACAGGAUUAGAUACCCCAGUAA
rnacentral:rRNA from 1 species